rnacentral:rRNA from 1 species
UACGUAGGGGGCAAGCGUUGUCCGGAUUUAUUGGGCGUAAAGAGCGUGUAGGCGGCCAUGCAGGUCAGCUGUGAAAACUCGAGGCUCAACCUCGAGACGUCGGUUGAAACCGUAUGGCUAGAGUCCGGAAGAGGAGAGUGGAAUUCCCGGUGUAGCGGUGAAAUGCGCAGAUAUCGGGAAGAACACCUAUGGCGAAGGCAGCUCUCUGGGCAGUAACUGACGCUGAGGAGCGAAAGCGUGGGGAGCGAACAGG